CGCAAAUCGAAUUCUCUCCAUCGCUAGCUUUAGCUUUCUGUUUCUCUUUCUAAUUUCAGCUUGUUAUUUUUCUUUUCUGCGAUUUAUUAUGGCCCGUUUUCCAAGUAACCCGAUUCCGAUAUUUAAAACUUGUCAACAGUCUCCGUUGCAGUCUCCAUUGCAGUCUCCAGUGGUGGUGAUCGGACCACAGUUCUUGGCACAGUAUCCGAUGGACCUGCAAGUGUCCACCAAGCUUUUGGCUCUUGGAGAAUGUAAUUUAGGCGUCACCGACACUAUGGGCAACCUGAUUUUAAGGGUGAAAAGUAAACUCUUAAGCAUCCAUGAUCGGCGUUAUUUGCUUGACCCCUCUGGCAAUGUCAUUGCCACUUUCCUACAGAAGAUAUUCACUGCCCAUAGGAGAUGGCUUGUUUUCAGAGGAGACAGCGCAAACCCCAAAAAUUUAAUUUUCAGCGUGAAGAAAUCGUCUAUCAUCCAAAUCAAAACAGAAUUAGAUGUAUUCUUAGCUACUAACACAGCAGAAACUGUCCCUGAUUUCAAGGUCAAGGGAAGCUGGUCUGAGAGGUCUUGCACCAUAUAUCUUGGGCAAUCCAAUACGAUCAUCGCACAAGUAAUUAAGCUCUAAACCAAUUCUAAUUUUAUUUUAUUUUUUUCCAUUCAUAUGAAGAACUUAUAAAUCACAUUAUCAUUAUUUUACCAAAUUAUGAUAUAUACUCAGUUAAGGUGACAUAUAUAUGUUAAUGGUACGUAAUGCAGAUGCAUAAGAAACGUUCACUUUCAACUGUUGUGUUGGAUGCGGACAAAUUUGGAGUGACUGUGUAUCCCAAUGUGGAUUAUGCCUUCAUAGUGGCACUUGUGGUGAUUCUUGAUGAGAUCAAUGAGGAUCGCCAUGGUGAUAAUUAGAUAGCAAUUAAUGUUAAUAAUAGAAAUUUUAAAAAACUAAUAAUUAAAGAGAGUGGAUUGCAUUUUCUUUGUUGCGUUCUCUAUGGAAUACAUGUAUGUAUUUAGAUGGAGUUGGAGUGGAGUGACCAAGUUUUGUGUUUCUUUCCUCAUGAAAACAUAUAUUUGAUGCUGAAAUGAACUGCUGGGGAGAAUUUAUGAUUGUA
rnacentral:misc_RNA from 1 species